GUCUAUGGGCAUACUACCCUGAACAUGCUUGAUCUCAUCUGAUCUCAGAAGCUAAGCAGGGUCGAGCCUUGUUAGUACCUGGAUGGGAGACUGUCUGGGAUUACCGGGUGCCGUAGGUG
rnacentral:rRNA from 1 species